rnacentral:rRNA from 1 species
UUGAGGGUCCUAAAGGGCCGUUGGAGACCACAACGUUGAUAGGUGGGGUGUGUAAGCGUAGCGAUACGUUGAGCUAACCCAUACUAAUUACCCGUGAGGCUUAACCAUACAACACCCAAGAAGUGUU